rnacentral:tRNA from 1 species
GCUGGCGUAGCUCAGUUGGUAGAGCAUCUGCCUUGUAAGCAGGGGGUCACGGGUUCAACUCCCGUCGCCAGCU